GCUGGGAUAGCUCAGUUGGUAGAGCAGGAGACUCUUAAUCUCAGGCUUGUGGGUUUGAGCUCCACAUUAGACA